GACGAACGCUGGCGGCGUGCUUAACACAUGCAAGUCGAACGGAAAGGCCCUGCUUUUGUGGGGUGCUCGAGUGGCGAACGGGUGAGUAACACGUGAGUAACCUGCCCUUGACUUUGGGAUAACUUCAGGAAACUGGGGCUAAUACCGGAUAGGAGCUCCUGCUGCAUGGUGGGGGUUGGAAAGUUUCGGCGGUUGGGGAUGGACUCGCGGCUUAUCAGCUUGUUGGUGGGGUAGUGGCUUACCAAGGCUUUGACGGGUAGCCGGCCUGAGAGGGUGACCGGCCACAUUGGGACUGAGAUACGGCCCAGACUCCUAAGGGAGGCAGAAGUGGGGAAUAUUGCACAAUGGGCGGAAGCCUGAUGCAGCAACGCCGCGUGCGGGAUGACGGCCUUCGGGUUGGAAACCGCUUUCGCCUGUGACGAAGCGUGAGUGACGGUAAUGGGUAAAGAAGCACCGGCUAACUACGUG
rnacentral:rRNA from 1 species